AUGACCGGACGUAAGACGAUUAAAAUUGUUGAUUCGGAUACAGAUUUGAAGUACGACUGUGUGCUACACCGUAAUGAAAGGAAGUAUUGUGUAGAGAAGUACAUUGGCCAUGGCUGGUAUGAUUUUGUCAAGAAUAGAAAGUUGGUAAAAGGGGACAGGGUUGCAUUCAUCUUUCGGAUGCCUCAGGCAGAGCAACUGGUUCUUACUGUUUUGAACCGUGAAAACUUGGUUCAUUGA